GGAUGCGAUCAUACCAGCACUAAAGCACCGGAUCCCAUCAGAACUCCGAAGUUAAGCGUGCUUGGGCGAGAGUACUACUAGGAUGGGUGACCUCCUAGGAAGUCCUCGUGUUGCAUUCC
rnacentral:rRNA from 1 species